rnacentral:rRNA from 1 species
AUGGUCAUGGAUAUAGAGAGACCGAAAGUUGUCAAAGAGGAAGCGGUCGACGUCGGAGAGCGUCGCCGCGUGGCCUCCGCUGUUGUUGUUGUUGGUGGUAGCGGUGGCGGCCUGGUCCAUGUCCAGCGACGGUGUACGCGGGAACCUGCAGGUGGAGAGGAGCCGCCUGCUGCUGGCGAUGGUUGCGGGAAUGGUCGAGCUGGGGAUGUGAAUCGGAGGGAUCUUCUUGAGUUUCUUGGAGAUGCAGAGCUGCAGGGAUUUGCGCAGUUUGGCUCUUUUCCUCUCAUCUUCCAUCUCUUUUCCCGAUACAAAAAGAUCUGGAGUUCUAGAAAAUGA